rnacentral:lncRNA from 1 species
CCUGUGAUGGGCCCAGGUGCUAGACGGGCCUUGUCCUUGCCGAGGAAACCCAUGCAGGCUUGGUCCCAAGCCUCUCAUGCAGUUUCAUUUUACCCAAGAUGGGGCCAGCUUCCACUAUGUUGAUUGUUCUAGAGUGUUCACAGGCACCACCCAUGGGCUUCACCCUCAGAACCUCAUUGAUUGCCCCCAGAACCCUCCAAGGCAGGCUUCCCUUUACAGAGGAGGAAACUGAGGCAGGGACAGGGGCUUCUUGGGUACACACAGCUGUUCCUGGAAAACUUGGGCAGUGACUGUUGGUGCCUGCAGUGACCGGCCUUGUAGGGUCUGACUUGCAGCCAACUCUCAAGGCAAGGCCAGGCCCCAGCCCGGCUCCUUCAACAAGCAAGAUUCAAAAGCUGACGUCCCCCAGAAGGCGGACCUGGAAGAGGAGCCCCUACUUCACAACAGCAAGCUGGACAAGGUUCCUGGGGUACAAGGGCAGGCCAGGUAAGGCUUGGGUGUUCCUGGGGUGCAAGGGCAGGCCAGAAAGGAGAAAGCAGAGGCCUCUAACGCAGGAGCUGCCUGUAUGGGGAACAGCCAGCACCAGGGCAGGCAGAUGGGGGCGGGGGCACACCCCCCAAUGAUCCUGCCCCUUCCCCUGCGAAAGCCCACCACACUUAGGCAGUGCGAAGUGCUCAUCCAUGAGCUGUGGAAUACCAACCUCCUGCAGACCCAAGAGCUGCAGCACCUCAAGUCCCUCCUGGAAGGGAGCCAGAGGUCCCAGGCGGCCCCAGAGGAAGCUAGCUUUCCCAGGGACCAAGAAGCCACGCAUUUCCCCAAGGUCUCCACCAAGAGCCUCUCCAGGAAAUGCCUGAGCCCACCUGUGGCGGAGCGUGCCAUCCUGCCCGCACUGAAGCAGACCCCGAAGAACAACUUUGCCGAGAGGCAGAAGAGGCUGCAGGCAAUGCAGAAACGGCGCCUGCAUCACUCAGUGCUUUGAGCCACCCGCAUCUGCUCAGUGCCAGGCCCACCAACCUGCAGCUGGAGACUGGCUCCCUAUAGCAUUUCCUGAUAUUUCCGCUACUUUUAGGCCUGGCUAAAUUCCAAGAUAGAUAACACUCAAGAUAGAUAAAGUAAUUGAUCUCCAAACUGAGAAACUGUUUAUUUUCUAGCUGUUAUUUUGCUAUUUGCCAUUUACAUAAAAGCAC